AGCACCAGAGGCUCGUGAGGGGUUGUGUGUUGGUGGAGGAUUUGUCCCAGGGACAACCCUACGAGUUUUGGGUGGAGGGUUUCGCGAUGAAGAAGGAGGAUUAGCGGUGGACUUCGUGUGAGCCAUCGCAGGAACUGCAAAGGAGAGAAAAGGGAUGAAAUGAGGACAACAGAGAAUGACUCGAUUGAGGACGAAGAGGAUAGAACGAACGAAUAAGGGUUCGCUGGGAUAGACGUUAUCAAGGACGAAACCUUAGGUUACUAGAAAAAAGAGAAACAACCCACAACGUAUGCUUCAGACAGUUAAUGGAUGAUGCAAACUGAUUAAAAUGCAGUAAAUGUCAAUAGGAGGAAUAAAAGGGUUACCUUUUUAUGAUCGGAUGAACGCUGAAGAAAGUUGAAGAUUGAGAGAGACGAGAAGUUUCGUGGUUCGCAGAGAAAGUGUUUGGAAUGCUUGAGGACGAAGAAAGAUGAUGAAACAGUGAAUAGCGCGAAGGGUUUAAGGGUUUCGAACGUUGUAGGAAGCGCAAACGACGAUUAAAAAUGACCGUUGAUGAAGCCACGUGUCGUUUGAUUAAAGAGGGGGUUGGUGGAGUGUCAGAGAAGCAAAGGGUACGAACGUACGGAAAUCUGUACAAGCGCCACGUAGAUCGACGAUGAUUUGACUUCUUAGUCUUUUCACUGGUCAAGUAUCAGCUUAAGACUAGGGAGCUUGUGUACCGAUCAGGUAAUCGGGAGUGAUGACGUGGCAGCAAGCGAUAAUAUAGGCGUGUUGAACGGGACACCUGGCUGCCAGAAGGGAACUACAUCGGGAAGUCUGUGUAGUCGCCGAUCGUUGACUUGGCGUUCUCCGAUAUCUAGUGUGUGUAACCGGCGGUCACCAGAGUUGCGUCAUAGUCGCCAUAUGUGAGUACUAGGAGAUCAGGUGGUUAGAGAUCGCCGAAAGGGGCACAUCGCCAAAAGAUCAGGAAAGCUUGCUUAAGGUUUCCAAGAGGUACAAGUACGGGGGACUAGUGAUAUGCUUGUCACGCAGCAGUGGAGGAUGAGGUUAUCAGACGAUCAUUCCCUAGCCAGAGGUCGGGGCAAGGGAACAGUUUCCCAGAACAUGCAUGGUGUGCAAGUGAAGCAGAUCGUGAUAGUGGCAGGCGA
rnacentral:lncRNA from 1 species